rnacentral:rRNA from 1 species
UACAGAGGUGCCAAGCGUUAGGCGGAAUCACUGGGCUUAAAGCGCGUGUAGGCGGGUCGUUAAGUGUCCGAGUGAAAUCCCACGGCUCAACCGUGGAACUGCCGGGCAUACUGGCGAUCUUGAGGCAUUCAGGGGCGAGCGGAACAAAUGGUGGAGCGGUGAAAUGCGUAGAUAUCAUUUGGAACGCCAAUGGUGAAAACAGGUAGCUGGGGCUGUGCUGACGCUGAGACACGUAAGCCAGGGGAGCAAACGGG